GGUUAAGCGACUAAGCGUACACGGUGGAUGCCCUGGCAGUCAGAGGCGAUGAAGGACGUGCUAAUCUGCGAUAAGCGUCGGUAAGGUGAUAUGAACCGUUAUAACCGGCGAUUUCCGAAUGGGGAAACCCAGUGUGUUUCGACACACUAUCAUUAACUGAAUCCAUAGGUUAAUGAGGCGAACCGGGGGAACUGAAACAUCUAAGUACCCCGAGGAAAAGAAAUCAACCGAGAUUCCCCCAGUAGCGGCGAGCGAACGGGGAGCAGCCCAGAGCCUGAAUCAGUGUGUGUGUUAGUGGAAGCGUCUGGAAAGGCGCGCGAUACAGGGUGACAGCCCCGUACACAAAAAUGCACAUGCUGUGAGCUCGAUGAGUAGGGCGGGACACGUGGUAUCCUGUCUGAAUAUGGGGGGACCAUCCUCCAAGGCUAAAUACUCCUGACUGACCGAUAGUGAACCAGUACCGUGAGGGAAAGGCGAAAAGAACCCCGGCGAGGGGAGUGAAAAAGAACCUGAAACCGUGUACGUACAAGCAGUGGGAGCACGCUUAGGCGUGUGACUGCGUACCUUUUGUAUAAUGGGUCAGCGACUUAUAUUCUGUAGCAAGGUUAACCGAAUAGGGGAGCCGAAGGGAAACCGAGUCUUAACUGGGCGUUAAGUUGCAGGGUAUAGACCCGAAACCCGGUGAUCUAGCCAUGGGCAGGUUGAAGGUUGGGUAACACUAACUGGAGGACCGAACCGACUAAUGUUGAAAAAUUAGCGGAUGACUUGUGGCUGGGGGUGAAAGGCCAAUCAAACCGGGAGAUAGCUGGUUCUCCCCGAAAGCUAUUUAGGUAGCGCCUCGUGAAUUCAUCUCCGGGGGUAGAGCACUGUUUCGGCAAGGGGGUCAUCCCGACUUACCAACCCGAUGCAAACUGCGAAUACCGGAGAAUGUUAUCACGGGAGACACACGGCGGGUGCUAACGUCCGUCGUGAAGAGGGAAACAACCCAGACCGCCAGCUAAGGUCCCAAAGUCAUGGUUAAGUGGGAAACGAUGUGGGAAGGCCCAGACAGCCAGGAUGUUGGCUUAGAAGCAGCCAUCAUUUAAAGAAAGCGUAAUAGCUCACUGGUCGAGUCGGCCUGCGCGGAAGAUGUAACGGGGCUAAACCAUGCACCGAAGCUGCGGCAGCGACGCUUAUGCGUUGUUGGGUAGGGGAGCGUUCUGUAAGCCUGCGAAGGUGUGCUGUGAGGCAUGCUGGAGGUAUCAGAAGUGCGAAUGCUGACAUAAGUAACGAUAAAGCGGGUGAAAAGCCCGCUCGCCGGAAGACCAAGGGUUCCUGUCCAACGUUAAUCGGGGCAGGGUGAGUCGACCCCUAAGGCGAGGCCGAAAGGCGUAGUCGAUGGGAAACAGGUUAAUAUUCCUGUACUUGGUGUUACUGCGAAGGGGGGACGGAGAAGGCUAUGUUGGCCGGGCGACGGUUGUCCCGGUUUAAGCGUGUAGGCUGGUUUUCCAGGCAAAUCCGGAAAAUCAAGGCUGAGGCGUGAUGACGAGGCACUACGGUGCUGAAGCAACAAAUGCCCUGCUUCCAGGAAAAGCCUCUAAGCAUCAGGUAACAUCAAAUCGUACCCCAAACCGACACAGGUGGUCAGGUAGAGAAUACCAAGGCGCUUGAGAGAACUCGGGUGAAGGAACUAGGCAAAAUGGUGCCGUAACUUCGGGAGAAGGCACGCUGAUAUGUAGGUGAAGUCCCUCGCGGAUGGAGCUGAAAUCAGUCGAAGAUACCAGCUGGCUGCAACUGUUUAUUAAAAACACAGCACUGUGCAAACACGAAAGUGGACGUAUACGGUGUGACGCCUGCCCGGUGCCGGAAGGUUAAUUGAUGGGGUCAGCGCAAGCGAAGCUCUUGAUCGAAGCCCCGGUAAACGGCGGCCGUAACUAUAACGGUCCUAAGGUAGCGAAAUUCCUUGUCGGGUAAGUUCCGACCUGCACGAAUGGCGUAAUGAUGGCCAGGCUGUCUCCACCCGAGACUCAGUGAAAUUGAACUCGCUGUGAAGAUGCAGUGUACCCGCGGCAAGACGGAAAGACCCCGUGAACCUUUACUAUAGCUUGACACUGAACAUUGAGCCUUGAUGUGUAGGAUAGGUGGGAGGCUUUGAAGUGUGGACGCCAGUCUGCAUGGAGCCGACCUUGAAAUACCACCCUUUAAUGUUUGAUGUUCUAACGUGGACCCGUGAUCCGGGUUGCGGACAGUGUCUGGUGGGUAGUUUGACUGGGGCGGUCUCCUCCUAAAGAGUAACGGAGGAGCACGAAGGUUGGCUAAUCCUGGUCGGACAUCAGGAGGUUAGUGCAAUGGCAUAAGCCAGCUUGACUGCGAGCGUGACGGCGCGAGCAGGUGCGAAAGCAGGUCAUAGUGAUCCGGUGGUUCUGAAUGGAAGGGCCAUCGCUCAACGGAUAAAAGGUACUCCGGGGAUAACAGGCUGAUACCGCCCAAGAGUUCAUAUCGACGGCGGUGUUUGGCACCUCGAUGUCGGCUCAUCACAUCCUGGGGCUGAAGUAGGUCCCAAGGGUAUGGCUGUUCGCCAUUUAAAGUGGUACGCGAGCUGGGUUUAGAACGUCGUGAGACAGUUCGGUCCCUAUCUGCCGUGGGCGCUGGAGAAUUGAGGGGGGCUGCUCCUAGUACGAGAGGACCGGAGUGGACGCAUCACUGGUGUUCGGGUUGUCAUGCCAAUGGCACUGCCCGGUAGCUAAAUGCGGAAGAGAUAAGUGCUGAAAGCAUCUAAGCACGAAACUUGCCCCGAGAUGAGUUCUCCCUGACUCCUUGAGAGUCCUGAAGGAACGUUGAAGACGACGACGUUGAUAGGCCGGGUGUGUAAGCGCAGCGAUGCGUUGAGCUAACCGGUACUAAUGAACCGUGAGGCUUAACCUU
rnacentral:rRNA from 1 species